GUUUCCGUAGGUGAACCUGCGGAAGGAUCAUUAAAGAGAUCAUGCCCUCACGGGUAGACCUCCCACCCUUUGUUUACAAUACCUUUGUUGCUUUGGCGGGCCCGUUUGGCCCCGCGCUGAACAACCGGCCCCGGCUGGUCAGUGCCCGCCAGAGAACCGAAAACUCUGAAUUAAAUGUCGUCUGAGUACUAUGUAAUAGUUAAAACUUUCAACAACGGAUCUCUUGGUUCUG
rnacentral:misc_RNA from 1 species